GAUGAACGCUAGCGGCAGGCCUAACACAUGCAAGUCGAGGGAGGAGCUUUCGGGCUUCGACCGGCGUACGGGUGCGUAACGCGUAUACAAUCUGCCUUUCGCAUAGGGAUAGCCCGAAGAAAUUUGGAUUAAUACCUAAUGGUAUAUAGAGGUGGCAUCACCUUUAUAUUAAAGCUGAGGCGGUGAAAGAUGAGUAUGCGUUCUAUUAGCUAGUUGGAGAGGUAACGGCUCCCCAAGGCGACGAUAGAUAGGGGUUCUGAGAGGGAUAUCCCCCACACUGGUACUGAGAUACGGACCAGACUCCUACGGGAGGCAGCAGUGAGGAAUAUUGGACAAUGGUCGGAAGACUGAUCCAGCCAUGCCGCGUGCAGGAAGACGGCCUUAUGGGUUGUAAACUGCUUUUGCAGGGGAAGAAUAAGGACUACGCGUAGUUUGAUGACGGUACUCUGCGAAUAAGCAUCGGCUAACUCCGUG
rnacentral:rRNA from 1 species